rnacentral:lncRNA from 1 species
UGAUUCUGUGAUGACUCAUUUGCGUUCACCUGGAUGGUGGCUGUUGGACACACACUGUGCUGGUUCCUUGGUACUGUCCUUACACCUCUCAGCGGUUCACAUGCCAUCAGUUCACAACUGAACCAGCUGGAAGAAAAGCUUCAGAGAGAAAGAGGCAAAGGGAAAGAAGUCAACCUUCUUCCGUCUGGAAAAAAUAAACUGUUAGGUGGGUUAAAAAUUGUAUGGACCACCAGGAUCAAAGGGCCCAAGGUCCAUUUGGAGCACUGUGGUAAACACUUCAAGGAGAUGUGGAGAAUAAUUCUACAACUGCUGUCUUAA